AGAUGGUAGAAUAUUUAUUAUGCGUAUGCGUGAAGCAUGCAUCAUGUUGAGUUGAUCCAUUGUUUACCAAAUCAACUAUAAUUGUCCCUAGAUUUGCACAAUUUAAGAAUAAACUAUAGCUCACAAAGCACCAUGCUGCAUCUGUACACAUGCUGUGACCAGACACUUCAUGCUUACCAUUGUUUACAAGCUCAGGUGUUCUGGUAUGCUACAUGCAUUACUUAGUGCCAAUGCCAGUUGCAUUCAUUUCUAACAACAGUUUGAUUGCAGGCAAGAAUCUUGUUGGUUUGUUUGAUGCUGCUGAAAAUGCCGUUUAACUCAAAGGUGAACACUUUGGAACAUCAAGCCAGCCUUCUGCCUUGGCUGGAUUCUGCUGCUGAUGGAGCAUCCCAUCCACCUCCUGACACUUGAGGGAUAGUUGGCACUGCCACUCCUCUGACCAGUUUGAGAUCAUGAACAAUGCUCUGCUGUGAAUAUAACCUGGUUCAAAAGCAAAAGCACGCUUGAAAGCCUGUCCUGGAGGAUGGGAAUGGCAGCUUAUACCUGAAAUGCAUGUGAGAAGUAUUCUGAAAAGCCCAAGGUAGUUUGGAAGGAGAAAAAAUAUUGAAAGCAUCAGCUGUCCUCAGCAUUGGUAUAGAAGAGAACCUACUUGUACAGGCCUGGAGAAAAAGUAGACCAAGCGGCUUUGGAUAGAAGGCUUAAUGAAAGAAUCUACGCUAAUAAGAAUAUGGGCCUGAUGGUCUAAUUUGCCAUCUUACCCCCCCCGCCCCGCCCCGCCCCGUUCUUAAGCUGUUGUACAGUGUAGACUCCAGCAGCAACUGUGGUGGUUAUAGAACAAAUCUGUGUCUGGGAUUAAACAGUAUGAAGCCACAGUGUGGGUUGCUUGGUUUUUCUUAAGUGUGCCAUGUGAACCCAUCCAGUGUGGUUUGUAAGUAAUGAUGUAUGGGUUAACAUCCAUGAGCCUGCUAAUUUGAAUUCAGACAAUAUUUUUAACAAACCAUGCUUAGCUAAAUUUGGGGAUCCAGCGUGAUGCACUGUUGUGGGUGAGGGGAGUUCAGGCCGAGCAAAGGAUGUUGGGAGGAACUGUUAAACUUAGAGCAGUAGGGAUAUAAUCCUGAAUUCCUCUGCCUUUGUCAGUCCUUUUUAUAUUUUACUGAAGCUUGAUAAUUGGCAUUUAUAUUUUCCCUACUAACAUAACAUUAGUUUCUGACUUUGCAAACCUUUAUAUAUUUAAAUAUAAAUAAUUUGUAUCAAAGACCAGUAAAGUUUAUUUUAUAUGCAAGCGUUCAUGGCGUUCUUAAUUACUUCAACUAUAAUGAAUUUUAGCAGCAUCAUAGAAAAUAGCUUCCUAAUGUUUUGUUUUUCAUGAUCACUGACUUGGGCAAAGCUGGGAAUUUAUUACCUCACCUUAACAUUUUACUACAUUUCUGGACUUUGAGCAGCUUACAGUAUUGGUAUCAAGAUUAAAACAAACAUUAAUAAAAGUAUAUACUCUUAGUCUGAUAUGUCA